rnacentral:rRNA from 1 species
AGUGAACGCUGGCGGUAGGCCUAACACAUGCAAGUCGAACGGCAGCACAGUAAGAGCUUGCUCUUACGGGUGGCGAGUGGCGGACGGGUGAGGUAUACAUCGGAAUCUACUUUUUCGUGGGGGAUAACGUCGGGAAACUUACGCUAAUACCGCAUACGACCUACGGGUGAAAGCAGGGGAUCUUCGGACCUUGCGCGAUUGAAUGAGCCGAUGUCGGCUUAGCUAGUUGGCGGGGUAAAGGCCCACCAAGGCGACGAUCCGUAGCUGGUCUGAGAGGAUGAUCAGCCACACGGGAACUGAGACACGGCCCAGACUCCUACGGGAGGCAGCAGUGGGGAAUAUUGGACAAUGGGGGCAAGCCGGAUCCAGCCAUACCGCGUGGGUGAAGAAGGCCUUCGGGUUGUAAAGCCCUUUUGUUGGGAAAGAAAAGCAGCAGGUUAAUACCCCGCUGUUCUGACGGUACCCAAAGAAUAAGCACCGGCUAACUUCGUG